UACAGAGACCUCAAGCGUUAUCCGGAAUCAUUGGGCGUAAAGCGUACCGAUAGGUGGUCUUACAAGUCAGAAGUGAAAUUCCAAAGCUUAACUUUGGGACUGUCUUUUGAAACUGUAAGAUUAGAGGGGCAAAGAGGAAGCUGGAACAAACGGUGUAGUAGUGAAAUGCGUUGAUAUCGUUUGGAACACCAAUAGCGUAGGCAGGCUUCUGGGUGCCACCUGACACUGCUAGGACGAAAGCGUGGGGAGCGAAUGGG
rnacentral:rRNA from 1 species